UCAAUCCUUGUCUAGGAGAGCAUAAUGUCCAAUGAUCGUCUAGUGAGGGCAUUGGUGCUAACACCCUAGUUAAAUUUUCGCAUCCUGCUGUAUAGUAGAAUGCAAUUUUUGUAACC
rnacentral:ncRNA from 1 species